rnacentral:rRNA from 1 species
UCCGUAGGUGGCAAGCGUUGUCCGGAUUUACUGGGCGUAAAGAGCGCGCAGGCGGUCGUCCAAGUCGCGUGUGAAAGCCCCCGGCUCAACUGGGGAGGGUCACGCGAUACUGAUCGACUCGAAGGCAGGAGAGGGUAGUGGAAUUCCCGGUGUAGUGGUGAAAUGCGUAGAUAUCGGGAGGAACACCAGUGGCGAAGGCGACUACCUGGCCUGUUUCUUGACGCUGAGGCGCGAAAGCUAGGGGAGCAAACGGG